AUGGACACGGCUCUGGGGGCUGGGGGCCGGUGCCCCUGGCUUGGCUGUAAAUGCCCUGGCGUGGUCCUGCUCCUUCCAAAAUCCCAUUGGGACACCAAGCACGGCAUUGCAGCGUUUGCAGCGGGGAGACACCGCCACGGAGUGUCCGGCUGCCGGCCUCGGGCUCCGUCCGGCGGCCUCGGGCUCCGUCCGGCGGCCUCGGGCUCCGUCCGGCGGCCUCGGGCUCCGUCCGGUGGCCUCGGGCUCCGUCCGGCAGCGGGAGCCGCGGUUAUUGCAGGUGUUGCUCCUCCUUGGGGUGGCUCUAUGGCUUCGGCUCCCGGAGCGGGGCUGCGGAGGCUUUUCCUCCCCGGGGAGGGAGGCACUCGAGGUGCUCAUGGCUGUGGGCUUGGCUCCCGUGGGAGGCACGGGCUGCUGGAGGUGAGGGAGAGGAGAGGGGAGGAAGAGAAAGAGAGGGUUAGAGCCAGAAACAGGAGCCGAGGAGCAGUGGAAGCAGGGCAGAACAGCCGGGAUCACUGCCCCAGUGGCACCGGGGCUGGCUCGGGGCACCAAGGGGCUCCGAGGCCCAGGGAGCUCUUGGGGUGCUGCAGGGACGGGGGCAGAGGGACAAUUCGCGGCCCAAAGGUGACACAGGCGAUCACAACAUGCCCUGAAGGAACUUACCUUGGUCACAGCAGGAGGAACCGGGUGCUGAAGAGAGGAAAAGCGGCAGAGGGAUCCCCUAAGCCACAGAACGGGUCAGGGAUGGGAGCACAGACCUGUCCCAGGGGCCGCUGCUCCCCCCAGACACCCCAUCUCUCCUUGGCUGGGGUCUCCUCACACAAGCCCCAGGCUGCAGACCCCUCUGCCGUGCCACAAUGUCCCACACGUGUCCCCAGCCCCAAGCCAGGGCAGCCAAAGCCAUCCUCUUCUGGCACAGCCUUCAGGGGACCCCUGACCCUCCCUGCCCCCGUGGGUCCUGCGGGGAUGGAUGGGGCUCGUGGUGUCAGCACGGGGUGAUGGCUCCGAGGCCAGAGCUGUCAUGCAGGGGACACAGACGGGUGGCUUUGAGUGGCUGAGAGGGAGAAGGAAGCACUUUCUUACCAGGCAGCCCUCAGAAAUCGGGGCAAACGUCCGAGGAGGGGCAAGUCCCGUCAGGCUGUGCAGGAAAUGGCAAAGUCCUGGCAGGCAUCCUCCUGGGGAAGACACCAGAGGUUAUGCACCUCACACCUGCCACGGGGCCAGAGCGGCUGGCACAGCUCCCAGCUGGGGAAGGGACACUGAGGUGACAACAGUGGGGAGGGGAUGAGCCCCUGCCCAGCCUGGAAAUGUGGGACAGCAAAUUCCCUCCACUCCAGCAAGAGUCACACUGCUCAUCCCUCGGAGCAGGAGUUUCCAGGUGAGGCCUGACCAGGUCCAGGUGGCACCUGAGGGAUGCCAAACACCAGGACACACCUGCCCUCUUCUAUCUUCAAGGAGGAAAAUAAUCAUCCAAGCAGUUAACUCUUUAAAAAUAGAAUUUUAUUGAGUAACAAAGGAAACUGGUUUAAAUAAAAACAGGAAGGAGUCUGGCCCCUGGUAAGCC
rnacentral:lncRNA from 1 species